AUGUAAUUGGGAUGAUGGGGAUUUAAACCUCUUCCAGAGUAUCCCUUUGGAGGGCAAGUCUAAUGCCAGCAGCCGCGGUAAUUCCAGCUCCCCUAGCGUAUAUUAAAAUUGUUGCAGUUAAAAAGCUCGUAGUUGAAUUUCUGCUGUAUUGCAUUUUCUCUUUUUAUAUGAGUUUUUGCUUUAUGGCUUAUUUCAGUAUUAAUUUUUUAUUAUUACUGAAUGUUUACUUUGAGAAAAUUAGAGUGCUCAAAGCAGGCUUUUGCCUUGAAUAGUUUAGCAUGGAAUAAUAAAGUAGGACUUUGGUUCUAUUUUGUUGGUUUUAGGUACCAAAGUAAUGGUUAAUAGGAACAGUUGGGGGCAUUCGUAUUUAACUGUCAAAAGGUGAAAUUCUUAGAC
rnacentral:rRNA from 1 species